rnacentral:rRNA from 1 species
AUCUUGCGCAAUGGUCGAAAGACUGACGCAGCGACGCCGCGUGCGGGAGGAAGCUCUUCGGGGUGUAAACCGCUGUUGCCCGGGACGAAAUGCCCUUUCGAGGGUCUUGACGGUACCGGGUGAGGAAGCGCCGGCUAACUCUGUGCCAGCAGCCGCGGUAAUACAGAGGGCGCGAGCGUUGUCCGGAAUCACUGGGCGUAAAGGGCGCGUAGGUGGCGGCAUAAGGCCGCGGUGAAAGUUCGGGGCUCAACCCUGAAUCGGCCGCGGCGACUGUGUCGCUUGGGCACUGUAGAGGCAGAUGGAAUUCCGGGUGUAGCGGUGGAAUGCGUAGAGAUCCGGAAGAACACCGGUGGCGAAGGCGGCCUGCUGGGCAGUCUGGCUGACACUGAGGCGCGACAGCGUGGGGAGCAAAC